rnacentral:tRNA from 1 species
GGCAACAUGUCCGAGUGGUUAAGGAGCCAGACUUGAAUUCAAUAUCUCUACAUCUGGUGGCUUCGGCCGCGUAGGUUCGAACCCUGCUGUUGUCG